rnacentral:rRNA from 1 species
UAUACCGUGAAACUGCGAAUGGCUCAUUAAAUCAGUUAUCGUUUAUUUGAUAAUACCUUACUACUUGGAUAACCGUGGUAAUUCUAGAGCUAAUACAUGCUGAAAAUCCCGACUUCGGAAGGGAUGUGUUUAUUAGAUAAAAAACCAAUGCCCUUCGGGGCUUUUUGGUGAUUCAUGAUAACUUUACGGAUCGCAUAGCCUUGCGCUGGCGACGGUUCAUUCAAAUUUCUGCCCUAUCAACUUUCGAUGGUAAGGUAUUGGCUUACCAUGGUUUCAACGGGUAACGGGGAAUUAGGGUUCGAUUCCGGAGAGGGAGCCUGAGAAACGGCUACCACAUCCAAGGAAGGCAGCAGGCGCGCAAAUUACCCAAUCCCGACACGGGGAGGUAGUGACAAUAAAUACUGAUACAGGGCUCUUUUGGGUCUUGUAAUUGGAAUGAGUACAAUUUAAACCUCUUAACGAGGAACAAUUGGAGGGCAAGUCUGGUGCCAGCAGCCGCGGUAAUUCCAGCUCCAAUAGCGUAUAUUAAAGUUGUUGCAGUUAAAAAGCUCGUAGUUGAAACUUGGGCCUGGCUGGCGGGUCCGCCUCACCGCGUGCACUCGUCCGGCCGGGCCUUCCUUCUGAAGAACCUCAUGCCCUUCACUGGGCGUGCUGGGGAAUCAGGACUUUUACUUUGAAAAAAUUAGAGUGUUCAAAGCAGGCCUUUGCUCGAAUACGUUAGCAUGGAAUAAUAAAAUAGGGCGUGCGUUUCUAUUUUGUUGGUUUCUAGAGACGCCGCAAUGAUUAACAGGAACAGUCGGGGGCAUCAGUAUUCAGUUGUCAGAGGUGAAAUUCUUGGAUUUACUGAAGACUAACUACUGCGAAAGCAUUUGCCAAGGAUGUUUUCAUUAAUCAGUGAACGAAAGUUAGGGGAUCGAAGACGAUCAGAUACCGUCGUAGCCUUAACCGUAAACUAUGCCGACUAGGGAUCGGGCGAUGUUCUUUUUCUGACUCGCUCGGCACCUUACGAGAAAUCAAAGU